GUCAAGGAUCAAGGAUCUUCAAGUCCAAUCUCUUGUUUACAAGUAUAGUACCGGAGAGACUGCCAGCUCUCAUAUCAAUAUCAUCAUCAAGGAUCUUCAAGUCCUGAUGUAAUUGUAUGAUGAGGAUCAAGGAACUUCUGGUCCUGAUCUGUAUACUGUAAAAACUCAUCAUACAGCACAAUUAAUCCAUAAAAUAAAUUUACUGUUAAAUAAAUUACUUGUAUGGACGUUAAAUAAAUUACUUGUAUGGACGUUAAUCCCGCACCAUACUUUAAAUGUGCGGUAAAGUAAAUUCAUAAAUUAAAUUGCUGUAUGGACGUUAAUCCCGCACCAUACUUUAAAUGUGCGGUAAAGUAAAUUCAUAAAUUAAAUUGUUGUAUGGACGUUAAUCCCGCACCAUACUUUAAAUGUGCGGUAAAUAAAAUUUGCUUGUAUGGGCACUAAUUCUGCUCCAUACAUUUAAAUGACAGUAAAGGCGUGGACGAUAAACCCGCACCACCCUUUAAAGUAAAUUUACGAUAAAGUAAAUGUGCUUGUAUGGGUAAUAAACCUACACCAUACAGUAAAUAAAAUAAU
rnacentral:lncRNA from 1 species